rnacentral:rRNA from 1 species
UACGUAGGUGGCAAGCGUUGUCCGGAUUUACUGGGCGUAAAGAGCGCGCAGGCGGCUGGCCAAGUCCGAUGUGAAAGCUCCCGGCUUAACCUGGGAAACUGCAUCGGAAACUGGUCGGCUUGAAGGUGGGAGAGGGUAGCGGAAUUCCCGGUGUAGUGGUGAAAUGCGUAGAUAUCGGGAGGAACACCAGUGGCGAAGGCGGCUACCUG